CUCCGGUGCCUACUGAGCUGAUAUCAGUUCUCGUUGUACACACUGGCUC
rnacentral:pre_miRNA from 15 species